AGCCUUGGGAAAGGGGUUGAGGAGACAAAAAUGGUUUCUUCUGGAUAAGAAAGGGAUUUGAAAGGUAAGGAUUGUCUUCAAUUACCACAGAAUGUCAAAGCCAGUCACUGAUGGUGUCUGGAAGUAGAGGUGUGGCUCAAGUGGUAGA